AACGCUAGCUACAGGCUUAACACAUGCAAGUCGAGGGGCAUCAGGAAGAAAGCUUGCUUUCUUUGCUGGCGACCGGCGCACGGGUGAGUAACACGUAUCCAACCUGCCCUUUACUCGGGGAUAGCCUUUCGAAAGAAAGAUUAAUACCCGAUAGCAUAAUGAUUCCGCAUGGUUUCAUUAUUAAAGGAUUCCGGUAAAGGAUGGGGAUGCGUUCCAUUAGGUUGUUGGUGAGGUAACGGCUCACCAAGCCUUCGAUGGAUAGGGGUUCUGAGAGGAAGGUCCCCCACAUUGGAACUGAGACACGGUCCAAACUCCUACGGGAGGCAGCAGUGAGGAAUAUUGGUCAAUGGGCGUUAGCCUGAACCAGCCAAGUAGCGUGAAGGAUGAAGGCUCUAUGGGUCGUAAACUUCUUUUAUAUAAGAAUAAAGUGCAGUAUGUAUACUGUUUUGUAUGUAUUAUAUGAAUAAGGAUCGGCUAACUCCGUGCCAGCAGCCGCGGUAAUACGGAGGAUCCGAGCGUUAUCCGGAUUUAUUGGGUUUAAAGGGAGUGUAGGUGGACUGGUAAGUCAGUUGUGAAAGUUUGCGGCUCAACCGUAAAAUUGCAGUUGAUACUGUUUUUCUUGAGUGUACAUAAGGUAGGCGGAAUUCGUGGUGUAGCGGUGAAAUGCUUAGAUAUCACGAAGAACUCCGAUUG
rnacentral:rRNA from 1 species